CUGUUGCUGCUGUUGCUGCUGUUGCUGCUGCUGCUGUUGCUGCUGUUGCUUCUGUAGCUGCUGUAGCUGCUGUAGCUGAUGUAGCUGCUGUAGCUGCUGUAGCUGCUGUAGCUGUUGUAGCUGUUGUAGCUGUUGUAGCUGUUGUAGCUGUUGUAGCUGUUGUAGCUGUUGUAGCUGUUGUAGCUGUUGUAGCUGUAGUAGCUGUUGUAGCUGUAGUAGCUGUAGUAGCUGUAGUAGCUGUAGUAGCUGUAGUAGCUGUAGUAGCUGUAGUAGUUG